rnacentral:rRNA from 1 species
UACGUAGGGGGCGAGCGUUGUCCGGAUUUAUUGGGCGUAAAGAGCUCGUAGGCGGUUCGAUAAGUCGGACGUGAAAUCUCCACGCUCAACGUGGAGGGGCCGUUCGAUACUGUCGUGACUCGAGUCCGGUAGGGGAGUGUGGAAUUCCCGGUGUAGCGGUGAAAUGCGCAGAUAUCGGGAGGAACACCAGUGGCGAAGGCGGCACUCUGGGCCAGUACUGACGCUGAGGAGCGAAAGCGUGGGGAGCGAACAGG